rnacentral:rRNA from 2 species
GAGAUGGGUACUGAGACAACGACCCAGGCCUUACGAGGCGCAGCAGGCGCGAAACCUCCGCAAUACACGAAAGUGUGACGGGGUUACCCAAAGUGUUCAAUUAUGAACUGUGGUAGGUGAGUAAUGUUCCCUACUAGAAAGGAGAGGGCAAGGCUGGUGCCAGCCGCCGCGGUAAAACCAGCUCUUCAAGUGGUCGGGAUAAUUAUUGGGCUUAAAGUGUCCGUAGCCGGUUUAGUAAGUUCCUGGUAAAAUCGGGUAGCUUAACUAUCUGUAUGCUAGGAAUACUGCUAUACUAGAGGACGGGAGAGGUCUGAGGUACUACAGGGGUAGGGGUGAAAUCUUAUAAUCCUUGUAGGACCACCAGUGGCGAAGGCGUCAGACUGGAACGUGCCUGACGGUGAGGGACGAAAGCCAGGGGAGCGAACCGGAUUAGAUACCCGGGUAGUCCUGGCCGUAAACGAUGCAUACUAGGUGAUGGCAUGGCCAUGAGCCAUGUCAGUGCCGUAGGGAAACCGUUAAGUGUGCCGCCUGGGAAGUACGGUCGCAAGGCUAAAACUUAAAGGAAUUGGCGGGGGAGCACCACAAGGGGUGAAGCCUGCGGUUCAAUUGGACUCAACGCCGGGAAACUUACCAGGGGAGACAGCAGAAUGAUGGUCAGGUUGACGACCUUACCUGACAAGCUGAGAGGAGGUGCAUGGCCGUCGCCAGUUCGUGCUGUGAGGUAUCCUGUUAAGUCAGGCAACGAACGAGAUCCGCACCUUUAUUUGCCAGCAAGAAGUCACGACUUCGUUGGGAACACUAAAGGGACCGCCGUCGAUAAGACGGAGGAAGGAGCGGGCAAAGGCAGGUCAGUAUGCCCCGAAACCCCUGGGCUACACGCGGGCUGCAAUGGUAUGAACAAUGGGCUGUAACUCCGAAAGGAGAAACCAAUCCCGAAAUCAUAUCUCAGUGGGAAUUGUCGGCUGUAACCCGCCGACAUGAACGUGGAAUCCCUAGUAAUCGUGUGUCAUCAUCGCACGGUGAAUACGUCUCUGCUCCUUGCACACACCGCCCGUCGCUCCAUCCGAGUGUGCUAAAAAUGAGGUAUGGUCAGUCUGGUCGUAUCGAAUUUCUAGUAUGCGAGGGGGGAGAAGUCGUAACAAGGUAGCCGUAGGGGAACCUGCGGCUGGAUCACCUCCU